UACGAAGGGGCUAGCGUUGUUCGGAAUUACUGGGCGUAAAGCGCGCGCAGGUGGUCUUUCAAGUCAGUGGUGAAAGCCCGGAGCUCAACUCCGGAAAUGCCAUUGAAACUGUGAGACUUGAGGACGAGAGAGGUGAGUGGAAUUCCCAGUGUAGAGGUGAAAUUCGUAGAUAUUGGGAAGAACACCGGUGGCGAAGGCGGCCUUCUGGACAGUGACGUGACGCUGAGACGCGAAAGCG
rnacentral:rRNA from 1 species